UUGAUCAUGGCUCAGGACGAACGCUGGCGGCGUGCCUAAUACAUGCAAGUCGAACGAACUCUGGUAUUGAUUGGUGCUUGCAUCAUGAUUUACAUUUGAGUGAGUGGCGAACUGGUGAGUAACACGUGGGAAACCUGCCCAGAAGCGGGGGAUAACACCUGGAAACAGAUGCUAAUACCGCAUAACAACUUGGACCGCAUGGUCCGAGUUUGAAAGAUGGCUUCGGCUAUCACUUUUGGAUGGUCCCGCGGCGUAUUAGCUAGAUGGUGGGGUAACGGCUCACCAUGGCAAUGAUACGUAGCCGACCUGAGAGGGUAAUCGGCCACAUUGGGACUGAGACACGGCCCAAACUCCUACGGGAGGCAGCAGUAGGGAAUCUUCCACAAUGGACGAAAGUCUGAUGGAGCAACGCCGCGUGAGUGAAGAAGGGUUUCGGCUCGUAAAACUCUGUUGUUAAAGAAGAACAUAUCUGAGAGUAACUGUUCAGGUAUUGACGGUAUUUAACCAGAAAGCCACGGCUAACUACGUGCCAGCAGCCGCGGUAAUACGUAGGUGGCAAGCGUUGUCCGGAUUUAUUGGGCGUAAAGCGAGCGCAGGCGGUUUUUUAAGUCUGAUGUGAAAGCCUUCGGCUCAACCGAAGAAGUGCAUCGGAAACUGGGAAACUUGAGUGCAGAAGAGGACAGUGGAACUCCAUGUGUAGCGGUGAAAUGCGUAGAUAUAUGGAAGAACACCAGUGGCGAAGGCGGCUGUCUGGUCUGUAACUGACGCUGAGGCUCGAAAGUAUGGGUAGCAAACAGGAUUAGAUACCCUGGUAGUCCAUACCGUAAACGAUGAAUGCUAAGUGUUGGAGGGUUUCCGCCCUUCAGUGCUGCAGCUAACGCAUUAAGCAUUCCGCCUGGGGAGUACGGCCGCAAGGCUGAAACUCAAAGGAAUUGACGGGGGCCCGCACAAGCGGUGGAGCAUGUGGUUUAAUUCGAAGCUACGCGAAGAACCUUACCAGGUCUUGACAUACUAUGCAAAUCUAAGAGAUUAGACGUUCCCUUCGGGGACAUGGAUACAGGUGGUGCAUGGUUGUCGUCAGCUCGUGUCGUGAGAUGUUGGGUUAAGUCCCGCAACGAGCGCAACCCUUAUUAUCAGUUGCCAGCAUUAAGUUGGGCACUCUGGUGAGACUGCCGGUGACAAACCGGAGGAAGGUGGGGAUGACGUCAAAUCAUCAUGCCCCUUAUGACCUGGGCUACACACGUGCUACAAUGGAUGGUACAACGAGUUGCGAACUCGCGAGAGUAAGCUAAUCUCUUAAAGCCAUUCUCAGUUCGGAUUGUAGGCUGCAACUCGCCUACAUGAAGUCGGAAUCGCUAGUAAUCGCGGAUCAGCAUGCCGCGGUGAAUACGUUCCCGGGCCUUGUACACACCGCCCGUCACACCAUGAGAGUUUGUAACACCCAAAGUCGGUGGGGUAACCUUUUAGGAACCAGCCGCCUAAGGUGGGACAGAUGAUUAGGGUGAAGUCGUAACAAGGUAGCCGUAGGAGAACCUGCGGUUGGAUCACC
rnacentral:rRNA from 2 species